UACGUAGGAGGCAAGCGUUGUCCGGAAUCAUUGGGCGUAAAGAGCGUGUAGGCGGCCCGAUAAGUCCGCUGUGAAAGUCCAGGGCUCAACCCUGGAAUGCCGGUGGAUACUGUCGGGCUCGAAUCCGGAAGAGGUGAGUGGAAUUCCUGGUGUAGCGGUGAAAUGCGCAGAUAUCAGGAGGAACACCAAUGGCGAAGGCAGCUCACUGGGACGGUAUUGACGCUGAGACGCGAAAGCGUGGGGAGCAAACAGG
rnacentral:rRNA from 1 species